rnacentral:rRNA from 1 species
AGUGGGGAAUUUUGGACAAUGGGCGCAAGCCUGAUCCAGCCAUGCCGCGUGCGGGAAGAAGGCCUUCGGGUUGUAAACCGCUUUUGUCAGGGAAGAAAAGGUUCUGGCUAAUACCUGGGACUCAUGACGGUACCUGAAGAAUAAGCACCGGCUAACUACGUGCCAGCAGCCGCGGUAAUACGUAGGGUGCAAGCGUUAAUCGGAAUUACUGGGCGUAAAGCGUGCGCAGGCGGUUAUGCAAGACAGAGGUGAAAUCCCCGGGCUCAACCUGGGAACUGCCUUUGUGACUGCNUGGCUAGAGUACGGUAGAGGGGGAUGGAAUUCCGCGUGUAGCAGUGAAAUGCGUAGAUAUGCGGAGGAACACCGAUGGCGAAGGCAAUCCCCUGGACCUGUACUGACGCUCAUGCACGAAAGCGUGGGGAGCAAACAGGAUUAGAUACCCCCGUAGUCCG